rnacentral:rRNA from 1 species
UGCAAGUCGAACGGUGAAAGAAGAGCUUGCUCUUCUGGAUCAGUGGCGAACGGGUGAGUAACACGUGAGUAACCUGCCCCAGACUCUGGGAUAAGCACUGGAAACGGUGUCUAAUACCGGAUACGAGCUUCAGUCGCAUGGCUAGGAGCUGGAAAGAAUUUCGGUCUGGGAUGGACUCGCGGCCUAUCAGCUAGUUGGUGAGGUAAUGGCUCACCAAGGCGACGACGGGUAGCCGGCCUGAGAGGGUGACCGGCCACACUGGGACUGAGACACGGCCCAGACUCCUACGGGAGGCAGCAGUGGGGAAUAUUGCACAAUGGGCGCAAGCCUGAUGCAGCAACGCCGCGUGAGGGACGACGGCCUUCGGGUUGUAAACCUCUUUUAGUAGGGAAGAAGCGAAAGUGACGGUACCUGCAGAAAAAGCACCGGCUAACUACGUGCCAGCAGCCGCGGUAAUACGUAGGGUGCAAGCGUUAUCCGGAAUUAUUGGGCGUAAAGAGCUCGUAGGCGGUUUGUCACGUCUGCUGUGAAAACUGGAGGCUCAACCUCCAGCCUGCAGUGGGUACGGGCAGACUAGAGUGCGGUAGGGGAGAUUGGAAUUCCUGGUGUAGCGGUGGAAUGCGCAGAUAUCAGGAGGAACACCGAUGGCGAAGGCAGAUCUCUGGGCCGUAACUGACGCUGANGAGCGAAAGCAUGGGGAGCGAACAGGAUUAGAUACCCUGGUAGUCCACGCCCUAAACUAUGAUUACUCGACAUUUGUGAUACACAAUAAGUGUCUGAGCGAAAGCAUUAAGUAAUCCACCUGGGAAGUACGUCCGCAAGGAUGAAACUCAAAGGAAUUGACGG